ACGCUCGACACCUACGUGAGGCAGCAGUGGGGAAUAUUGCACAAUGGGGGAAACCCUGAUGCAGCGACGCCGCGUGAAGGAAGAAGUAUUUCGGUAUGUAAACUUCUAUCAGCAGGGAAGAAGAUGACGGUACCUGACUAAGAAGCCCCGGCUAACUACGUGCCAGCAGCCGCGGUAAUCUGAGCGGGCUGGCAAGGC
rnacentral:rRNA from 1 species